rnacentral:rRNA from 1 species
UAGAUGUUUGAACUGAAGAGUUUGAUCAUGGCUCAGAUUGAACGCUGGCGGCAGGCCUAACACAUGCAAGUCGAGCGGCA